CCUACGGGCGGCAGCAGUGGGGAAUAUUGGACAAUGGGGGGAACCCUGAUCCAGCGACGCCGCGUGAGUGAAGAAGUAUUUCGGUAUGUAAAGCUCUAUCAGCAGGGAAGAAAAUGACGGUACCUGACUAAGAAGCCCUGGCGAACUACGUGCCAGCAGCCGCGGUAAAACGUAGGGCGCAAGCAUUAUCCGGAUUUACUGGGUGUAAAGGGAGCGUAGACGGUGCAGCAAGUCUGGUGUGAAAGGUCGGGGCCCAACCCCGGGACUGCAUUUGAAACUGGUGAACUGGAGUGCAGGAGAGGUAAGCGGAAUUCCUGGUGUAGCGGUGAAAUGCGUAGAUAUUAGGAGGAACACCAGUGGCGAAGGCGGCUUACUGGACUGUAACUGACGUUGAGGCUCGAAAGCGUGGGGAGCAAACAGGAUUAGAUACCCGGGUAGUC
rnacentral:rRNA from 1 species